GGCGGGAUGUCCGAGUGGUUAAAGGAGACGGGCUGUAAACCCGUUGGCUCUGCCUACGCAGGUUCGAAUCCUGCUCCCGCCA
rnacentral:tRNA from 3 species